GAGGGGGCAAGCGUUGUUCGGAAUUACUGGGCGUAAAGGGCGCGUAGGCGGCCUGUUAAGUCGAACGUGAAAUCCCCGGGCUCAACCCGGGAACUGCGUCCGAUACUGGCAGGCUUGAAUCCGGGAGAGGGAUGCGGAAUUCCAGGUGUAGCGGUGAAAUGCGUAGAUAUCUGGAGGAACACCGGUGGCGAAGGCGGCAUCCUGGACCGGCAUUGACGCUGAGGCGCGAAAGCCAGGGGAGCAAACGGGAUUAGAUACCCCGGUAGUCCUGGCCCUAAACGAUGAAUGCUUGGUGUGGCGGGUAUCGAUCCCUGCCGUGCCGAAGCUAACGCAUUAAGCAUUCCGCCUGGGGAGUACGGUCGCAAGGCUG
rnacentral:rRNA from 1 species